rnacentral:tRNA from 1 species
CACUAGGAAGCUAAAUUGGGCCUAGCGUCAGCCUUUUAAGCUGAAGAUUGGUGAUCCCCAACCACCUCUAGUGAC